CGCGCUGAAAACCUGGGAGUGCCCCGCCUCGCCCCCCUUUGUAGCCGCGGGUUAGGUUUCGUCAAACGCUCAGGGUGGCCUUUUGUCAGCUACCGAUAGGCCACGGAGGAACACCUGUGUGUGCGUCAGGACGGACGCGUCGCCUUAAAGGGCCUAAAGAUAAGAGUCACCUGAACUUGGCGAAGCCACCUGUGAUCUUGGAUCUGCAGCAAUCGACAUCACCUCCGGGGUCUUGCUGGAAAUUACUCUUCCUGCCCUGCCCCAGACCUAGGACACAAGGAUCUGCGUUACUGAGACCAGGCCAGGGACUCGGAGCUGCCCCAGGGCCUGACUGCAACGCCGAAGGCAACCACACGAGGGCGCCAGAACCACACUGGAUGAAGCCCUCGGAGACCCAGUAGCCCGGUCAUUUCCUGCUGCUGCAGGUUGUACCACGCCAGGUCCGGUUUACUCUCCCUGAGAUGAGUAAAUGCUCCCAGCACCUGUUACUCUGCCUGGAACACCCAGCCCUCAGCCUUCAAAGCCCUUUUCCUGAACGUCGCAGGCAGAUUCAAUUCCCCCACCUGGUUCCUCUCAGCUCCGGGCCCCACCCAAUAACACCCUGCAUUGGAAACUUCCUGAGGGUUCUCUCCUGUGUAUCCACCAGGUCCGAGGACCAGUAGGCACAUAACAAAUGUUUGCUGAACAAAUUAAUUUGUUUUCAUCUAACGAGCUCAUUAGGGCUCUAUCUUCCUCUUAAUUAGGAAGCAGGAGGUUCUGCUUUUCCUGUAACAAUUCACCUUUGGGGGAUGAUAGCAGACCUUAGCCUCUGCAGGCAGAAGGCAAUCAAACUAGAUUUCUGGGGCACACAGUUGCAUUAUAAAGAAAUAACACACGUAUGCUCAAUGAGGUCCAUUUAAACAAGACGACUGUAUGUUAAAAGCUUCACAUUAAAUAUACACUAUUAUACAGCUUAUCACACAGAACUCGAGCUUUACAGGACACUUUUUUAGCGGUAGGUGGCUGGCACAGGCUCUUGGCAGCAACACACAGCCCUGAAGAGAGGGGAAGGAUAGGCUGCAGGCUGUCACCCGUGCUCGGGGGGCACCUGAGUGGGUCUCCGUGGGGUUCUGGAAGGUGCUCCUACAGUGAAGGCUCUGGGCUGUGCUGGCUCCUUCUGGAUAACUUGGUCCAUUUGGUCUUUGCCGGUAACUGAGUCUGGAAGGGCAGAGAGACAGACGUGUCAGCUUGCUGGACGGCCGCCUGAUCCAGCCAGGAUGCUUCAUGGGCAUCGACGGGCCAACUCCGAGUGCCAGCCUUCCCCGUCUGCCGGGUUUCUGCACGCACCAUCCCUGGGGCCUGUGAGAGCAAAUGGUAAGCCUGGCCGUCUGUCUCUGCUAGGCCCUUGGACAAGUGACAUCAACUACUUCUGAGAGUGUCCUGGGGAGCUGGCCAGAGCUUGCGGUUAAAAUCUUAGGAAAGGGAAUCUCCAGGUCCCGUGACCCUAGCAUAAGCAGAAUGCCUGGCAAGGGCUCUACCUGUUGAAUAUGAGGCCCUUGCUGGAAGCCAGACAAGGAUUUCCCUUUGCUCACUCACUGGCCACAGAGGGCCACCAGCCCUGAGAUGCCCUAGGAGGACACAUGUAGCUCAGCUCCAAUUGGCCCAGCCUUCCUGAAACCCAGAGCCUUUUCACCAUUUCCCUUAGAAAGGCUGCUCCAUGAACCUCUCUCCUGACAGGCAGGUGGGCCCUCUCUCCCCACAAAGCCUCCUUUCUUUCUGUGGCCACCAUCUUGCUGGGCAGGGGAGGGGUGGUGGUGCCAAAAAGGCCCUUGACUCUUCAGUGCUCAAGGAUAGAGCUGCUGAAGUGGUCGGGGCAUUAUGGUCAAUAAUGAGGCCGGCAAAGAAGGGAAAGAAAGGAAAAAAACAAAACAAAACAAAAAACCCAGUCCUGUGGCUCUGAGAAGCCCGUUAGUGGCUGGAGGUUGUGUUCUGAGACAAAAUGCUGAGGGCGAGAUAUUGUGUGGCAGGGAGCUUUUUUUUUCCCCCUCAAAGAAAUCCAGCUCAUUUUUUCCAUUAAUUGGCAGCAGAUGAAAAAAAAAAAAAAAGCCAAAACAAAAACCAAAC